UCGUCUUGUUGUACGCACAGUCCCCUAAUGUUUUGAUUUGUGUUGCAUCUAUCUUCUUUCUUUUUAUCUAUUUUGGAAUUGGGAAAAUCUCUGUCUUUGAUAUAUAAUAAUAUUUAGAAGUGUUGCUUUGUAGUGACGUCAUUCUCGUCGUAAUCCCCGUCCGAAUGAACUGACCCGUCCUGCGCCCGCUCCGCUCCUCUCUCAGCCGGUCAGUCAGUGCUCCCGGUCCCCGGAGACAGCAUUCUGAGUGAAAAAUGCCUCCCCCUGAUGGGUGCCACCCCAACUCAGAUGAAGAUGAUGGGAAUUCAGCUACCAGUCCAUUGAACUUCCUGGAACAGAACUACCAGGAGCUGCUCCAGGACUGUCUCACUGAAAACACACUCUACAAUGAUGAGCUGUUCCCUCCAGACAACAGCUCCAUUGGCUUGUUUGAUGAUCUGCCACCUGAUGUGGACAUGUCUCAAGUUGUGUGGAAGCGGCCAUCCGAAUUGGUGUCAGAUCCUAAUUUAAUUGUAGAUGAUAUGUCAAGGUUUGACUACGCACAGGGAGAUGUAUUAGGAAACUGUUGGUUCUUGGCUGCAAUUGGAGCUCUAACCUUUGAGAAGGAUAUCAUAAAACAGGUCAUGCCAGCUGAACAGUCAUUCACCAAGGAUUAUGCUGGGAUAUUUCACUUCAGGUUCUGGCGAUUUGGGAAAUGGAUUGAUGUUGUUAUCGAUGACCAACUUCCAACUUUUGAUGAUGAACUCCUUUUUGUGUGCUCAAAAACAUCUAAUGAGUUUUGGCCUGCUUUACUGGAGAAAGCUUAUGCAAAGGUGUGCGGGUCCUAUGCUGACUUGCACGCUGGUUACAUAUCGGAGGCCCUGAUGGACUUCACUGGUGGGACACAUAUGUAUUACACACUGAACACAGCUCCUGCUGAUUUGUGGAAAAUCAUGGAAUGUGCAUUCAAGUCGAAAACGCUUAUGGGCUGCGGCUCUAAUACAGCGACAACCCCUGAAGAAAUUGAGUUACUUCAUGGCAUAAUUGCAGAGCAUGCUUACACUGUGACAGGGGUUUUUGAGGUGAUGAGUGACGAAAAUCCAGUCCAGCUAGUGAGGCUGUUAAACCCUUGGGGCCAAGAAGAGUGGCAAGGAGACUGGAGCGAUGGAUCACCUUUAUGGGACACAGUUUGCGAGGAAGUCCGCAAAAUUUGCCAUGAAGUUUUAAAUAAUGGGGAGUUCUGGACGUCAAUGGAAGACUUUACCAGUAUUUUUGAAAACAUAGACAUCUGUUGUCUCUGUCCUGAUUUUCUGGAUGGCUCUGCUGAAUGUCACUGGACGUCAAAACGACAUUUUGGCAGAUGGAAUGAUGAGACUACAGCAGAGACUUUCUGGACAAACCCUCAUUUUCGGGUGAAAAUUGAUGAGCUUGAUGAGGAAUGUGCUAGUGGCCAGCGCCCUGAAAAUAUACUGGUGUCCCUCAUGCAGAACCAUGAGAAGAGACACAGAAAUAGCCAAGAUAAUUUUAAUAUUGGCUUCUAUGUUUUUGAGGUCAGUAUUUUUUGUUUACAUUUGUAAAUAUGGCAAAUAAUGUAUAGAAUUUACAUAUGUUUGAAUCUGAUAUAAUUUAGAGUUUCUCUACAGUAUAUUUAUUUGUUUAACAGAUGCAUUUCUUUCCAAAGUGACUUUAAUUACAAUUGAGAAAUGUGAGCAAUUAGUCACAGAGUCAUUGAUAUUCGUAGUGUACAAUGCUAGGUUUAUUAGAAAGCCAGACUAAAAAACAAGCUAAAGGAGAGGUGAAAUGUAAAGAAAAAGAGGAUUUUGUGUGUGCCACGCUUUGAGGUUGUGGAGUCGGUAUGUACUUAUAAGAAGAAGUGCCAGCUGCUUUUUGAAAGUUGUGAUACCCUCAGCACUUUCAGCACUGACAUGUUUUAUGCAUAAACUGCUAUAUCCCUGUAAUGAUACAAGUUUUAUCUUUUUUUCUUUUUCUACUUUCACAGAUACCAAUAGAGGCAAGUGAAAAUUAACCUAAAUGUUAUAUUCUUAUGGUCUUAUGGAGAUUUAUUUAUUCAUUAUUUUUUUAUGUAUUCAUUCUUUUAAAUAGAAUAAAGACAUGUUUUGUAAUUCUUUUUCAGAUGAGAAGUCAAAGUGGGAGGUUUUCAUCUGAGUUCUUCAUUGAUAGAGAGCCUGUGGCUCAGACGGAGGAGUUAGUAGAGUUCAGAGAGGUGAUGAAAUUCUUCAGGCUGGAGCCGGGAGAGUACCUGAUUGUACCGUGCACAGAAAAUCCUGGUGAAACGGCCUCUUUCAUCCUGUCUGUUUUCUCAAAGAAUGAGACACACUUAGAACAUAUUCAAGAAACUCCUGAGUAGAAUGAAGACAUUCUUGAUGAGGGUGUGGCAUUAUUUUGCUUCUACUUUUGGAUGAAAGUGUGGUAUCACUGUACAUCAGUUCUUUUCAUUCAUUCCAAAAUAAUUUAUACUGCUGCAGACAUAAAAAUAAAGCUCCCAUAUAUUUAUUUAAUAUUGUUCUUCAAAGAAACAGGGGUAACAUUUUAGAAUAAGGUUCCAUUAGUUAAUGUUAGUUAAUGUAUUAAUUAACAUGAACAAACAAUGAAUAAUACAUUUAUUACUGUAUUUAUUCAUCUUCGUUAAUGUUAGUUAAUGAAAAUACAGUUAUUCAUUGUUAGUUCAUGGUAAUUCACAAUGCAUUAAUUAAUGUUAACAAGCACAACUUUUGAUUUAAAUAAUGCAUUUGUAAAUGUUGAAAUUAACAUGAACUAAGACUUAUAAAUGCUGUAGAAGGAUUGUUCUCGCUUAGUUCAUGUUAACGAAAGUAGUUAUCUAACAUUAACUAAUGGAACCUUAUUCUAAAGUGUUACCGAAACAGGAUAUUGCUUGCACAAGAAUAAUAAUCAGUAAACUUAAAAAAAGAAUAAUUGGCAGCUUCUUUCAGGAUGUGGAGACAGCAUUCUAAUUUAAUAAAUCCAAAUAAGUAAAACAUAUAAAGCUAAAACCUCGAUCUAGCAUCCAGAAUUUCUUAGAGUGACACAACAAGGCAAAUUAAUAUUAAAUAUUGGCCAUCUGUUUAGGGAAGCCACAUAAAUUCAGAGGAUCAUAUGUCUGUUUAAAAAAUGUGUCAAUAAAGCUUAAGAGUUUGAGGUCAUACAGUAGCACGUGGUGCUCACAAUUUUAAUGUUAUGGUUUGAUUCAGGGAAUGCAUGAACUUAUGAAAUGUAUACCUAGAUUGCAAUAUACUGUAAGUCACUUUGGAUUAAAGUGUCUUUCAAAUAUGCAACCUGAAGUUGAGCGUUGGUUUGGUUGUAAUUUUUGUCCAUAUUAAAUUACAAUUAAUA